rnacentral:rRNA from 1 species
CCUACGGGGGGCUGCAGUGGGGAAUAUUGGACAAUGGGCGCAAGCCUGAUCCAGCAAUACCGCGUGUGUGAAGAAGGCCUUAGGGUUGUAAAGCACUUUCAAUGGGGAGGAAAACCUACCGGUCAAUACCCGGUAGCUUGACAUUACCUGUAGAAGAAGCACCGGCUAACUCCGUGCCAGCAGCCGCGGUAAUACGGAGGGUGCAAGCGUUAAGCGGAGCGAGUGGAGGUAAUGCGUUCGGUGGCGGGUGAAAGCCCCGGGCUUAACCUGGGAACUGCAUUUGAAACUGGCGGACUAGAGUUGAGUAGAGGGGAGUGGAAUUUCAGGUGUAGCGGUGAAAUGCGUAGAUAUCUGAAGGAACACCAGUGGCGAAGGCGACUCCCUGGACUCAAACUGACGCUGAGGUACGAAAGCGUGGGUAGCAAACAGGAUUAGAUACCCGUGUAGUC